rnacentral:rRNA from 1 species
CCUACGGGUGGCUGCAGUGGGGAAUAUUGCACAAUGGGGGAAACCCUGAUGCAGCGACGCCGCGUGAGUGAAGAAGUAUUUCGGUAUGUAAAGCUCUAUCAGCAGGGCAGAAAAUGACGGUACCUGAUUAAGAAGCCCCGGCUAACUACGUGCCAGCAGCCGCGGUAAUACGUAGGGGGCAAGCGUUAUCCGGAUUUACUGGGUGUAAAGGGAGCGUAGACGGCAGCGCAAGUCUGAAGUGAAAUGCCGGGGCUUAACCCCGGAACUGCUUUGGAAACUGUGCAGCUAGAGUGCAGGAGAGGUAAGUGGAAUUCCUAGUGUAGCGGUGAAAUGCAUAGAUAUCACGCAGAACUCCGAUUGCGAAGGCAGCAUACCGGCGCGCAACUGACGCUCAUGCACGAAAGCGUGGGUAUCGAACAGGAUUAGAUACCCGAGUAGUC